CCCUUAGAUGUUCUGGGCCGCACGCGCGCUACACUGAUGCAUUCAACGAGCCUAUCCUUGACCGACAGGUCCGGGUAAUCUUUGAAUCUGCAUCGUGACGGGGAUAGAUUAUUGCAAUUAUUAAUCUUCAACGAGGAAUUCCUAGUAAACGCGAGUCAUCAGCUCGCAUUGAUUACGUCCCUGCCCUUUGUACACACCGCCCGUCGCACCUACCGAUUGAAUGUUUCGGUGAAGAUUCCGGAUAGGACUUUUUUGAUUUAUUUCAAUUUUGUCUUAAAAGCUAUCUAAACCUCAACAUUUAGAGGAAGGUGAAGCCGUAACA
rnacentral:rRNA from 1 species